GACGAAGGGGGCUAGCGUUGUUCGGAAUUACUGGGCUUAAAGCGCGUGUAGGCGGUUGUCCACGUUGGAUGUGAAAGCCUUGAGCUCAACUCAAGAAAUGCAUUCAGGACUGGAUGACUAGAGGACCGGAGAGGAUAGUGGAAUUCCCAGUGUAGUGGUGAAAUACGUAGAGAUUGGGAAGAACACCAGUGGCGAAGGCGGCUAUCUGGACGGUUUCUGACGCUAAGACGCGAAAGCGUGGGGAGCAAACAGG
rnacentral:rRNA from 1 species